rnacentral:rRNA from 1 species
UACGAAGGGGGCUAGCGUUGUUCGGAAUUACUGGGCGUAAAGGGCGCGCAGGCGGUCGCUCAAGUCAGGCGUGAAAGCCCCGGGCUCAACCUGGGAAUAGCGCUUGAGACUGAGCGACUUGAGUUCGGGAGAGGAGAGCGGAAUUCCCAGUGUAGAGGUGAAAUUCGUAGAUAUUGGGAAGAACACCGGUGGCGAAGGCGGCAUCCUGGACCGGCAUUGACGCUGAGGCGCGAAAGCCAGGGGAGCAAACGGG